rnacentral:rRNA from 1 species
GGUUUGUUAAGUCAGAUGUGAAAGCCCGGGGCUCAACCUCGGAAUUGUCAUUUGAAACUGGCAAACUAGAGUACUGUAGAGGGGGUAGAAUUUCAGGUGUAGCGGUGAAAUGCGUAGAGAUCUGAAGGAAUACCGGUGGCGAAGGCGGCCCCCCUGGACAGAUACUGACACUCAGAUGCGAAAGCGUGGGGAGCAAACAGGAUUAGAUACCCUGGUAG